AGACUUCCAGUUUACCAAGGACCUACUGUUGCAUAUAUACUUCCAUUGUUAGUUUUGUCAGACUUGCCAGAGUGGAAAUGUCCAGCAGUGGGUUAUAAAGUUAUUGUCAAUGAAACUUCAGGAUUGAACUUUACAACGAAUGAACUGGAUGUGGUUGGCUACCGUGAAACUAUUAUCAUGCCAAGACUACGCGCCAUGCAAGGUUGUUUGAUCAUUGCUGGAGCAGUACACAUGCUAAUUGGAUUAACUGGUUUUGUUGGUGUUUUAUUAAAAGUAGUUGGACCACUUACAGUUGUCCCGACGCUACUUCUAAUAGGAAUACAAUUUGAUGGAGUUAUGAACACAUUUUGUGAUCCUAACUGGGGAAUA